GGCCGUGUGGUGUAGUGGUAGCAUACUUGCUUUGGGAAUUCGUUCCAAGUGUUUCAACUUGCAAGUGGUCCCAGGUUCAAGCCCUGGCUCGGCCC
rfam:Podospora anserina genomic DNA, chromosome 1.